GUAAUAGGAACUGCUCUCGGUUUUCGAAAUCCUCUUUUUUCACUGACUUGGAAUGCGUUGAUACAAAUGCCCUUCAUAGAUACUAUAGAUUCUGCAAGCUACUCCGCUUUCACAUUUAUAUUAUAGAAUAAACAGAUUCGAAAGACAUUAGUAAGGGAGUGGCUAGACUGAUUGACCGAAUAUGCACUUUAUGGGAUAAGUUGACUAGGGAAGCCUCAUUAAAUUCCCUCUUCGAUGCUAAGAAUAGGUUUUAGAUCGCUACGCCCGCAGCACCCCCAUGGGAGUUCCACUUCCCGAGGCCGAGGAGCCUACCCUCCCAACGGUCGGGGAUGAGGAUACUUCUGAUGGAUCUUCACGCACGGCCACGGAAGUCAAUCCGUUUGCCGCUGCAACCAUCAGGCUCAAGAGCGACGAUCUCGCUGCUUGAAGACAACAGACAGAUUGAGGAAUCAAAUAAUGAGUUGAUGCAGGCUAUGAUCCAACAAAAGGCUACUGUCCUCAAAGCCAUGCUUUCGGAUAACCAAAGAUCUAUGGAGUCGGUCGGAAAGUAAGUCGAGAAGCUAGUGGGUUAAAUGGAAGUCCGAC
rnacentral:lncRNA from 1 species